rnacentral:tRNA from 1 species
GCGGGUGUAGCUCAAUGGUAGAGCACCAGCCUUCCAAGCUGGCAGUGGGGGUUCGAUUCCCCUCACCCGCUCCA